rnacentral:rRNA from 1 species
GACAGAGGAGCCAAGCGUUGUCCGGACUGACUGGGCGUAAAGCGCACGCAGGCGGCGCUGCGCGUGGGGUGUGAAAGCUCUUGGCUUAACUGAGAGAGGCCAUCCCAUACGGCAGUGCUCGAGCGGUGCAGAGGUCCGCGGAAUUGCCGGUGUAGUGGUGAAAUGCGUAGAGAUCGGCAGAAACACCCAGGGGGAAACCAGCGGACUGGGCAUCAGCUGACGCUCAGGUGCGACAGCGUGGGGAGCGAACCGG